CGCUAUGAACAGUGCACGCGCGCUAGCCUACCGAGAGCCUCCUCUCCUCCCCAAUCUGCCGCCUCCUCUUCUCCUCCUCUCCAAUCCGCCGCCUCCUCUUCUCUUCCUCCUCCUCCUCUCCUCCCCAAUCCGCCGCCUCCUCUUCUCCUCUCCAAUCCGCCGCCUCCUCUUCUCCUCCUCCCCAAUCCGUUAGCCCUCACCACCAUGAAGCCACAAGGGGGGGAGGGGACUGCGCCACCACAGGGGGGAGGGGACUGCGCCGCCGCUGGAAGAAAAUAGGAAGAGGAGGUGGUGCGGGGGAGACCAGCGGCAGCGACGGCGCAUCGACGUACUCGACCAGGAAGCGAGCCAGAGCGCGGGCUGCUGUGAGCUUUGCGUCGCCUAGGAUCCACCAUGGAGCAGGUGCUCUUCUCCUCCCCAAUCCGCGAGGAGGCCGGCGUUGGGGGAAGGAGCAGCCAUGGCGUGGAGGAGGCGACCGGAGAUGGAUGGAUCUGGCCGGCACAGAUUGCCUGCACUGCCUUCUUUUUGGGCUGCAACGGUGGACGUUUUCUCACCUUGUGCUCCCUGUCCGGCGAUCUUCGUCAGCUUGCUCGUCCUUGCUGUCCUCACUACAUCGGUAUGUCUGCCUCUUCUACGUCAUUAGUGCCAAGAUGGUUGAUGACAAGUAGGAAUUGUGAUUUUGCCGAUAUACGUAUCUACAACAUGAGUUGCCAUGAAAGGUAUCUUUUCAUCCAGCUCAUUUACUUGUUUGGUUUUUAUCAGGUGAUGAAGUUGACAGACCUCUUAUUUUAUUGAGAUGUAUGGUUAUGCCUAGAGUUGCAGUUUCAACAUUACAAUCAACAUUAAAAUGCACAGGCACUGGACCAAUGGCACUUGCUUGGUUCAGAAUUUUAUAUCAACAAUACUUGCUUGGCCCUUGACUAGACAUGAGUUGCUUUCUCUUUUGUGGUGACUGCCAAAGAACAAAUCUCUUUGUUUCUACAAAUAUGUGAUGCUUUCUAUAGCAGGCAAGAUGUCUGAGGAAAUGCACAAAAGGGAAUAGGAUGUGAGUGCGUACUAAUGUUAUUAUAUUCUGUAUCAACUAUGUUCGCUCGUAUGACCUAUGAAUUGUAUCUACUAUAUUGAGAUAGAGAGUGCUUAUUCUACACCCCAGCUUGCUAGAUGGUAAUGUUCAGAACCUGUUUUGGGACUCAAGGGCAUGUGAGCAAGGGGAGCAUUCUGUGAGUAAGAACCCUAUCAUAGAUGGAUAAUUUAUGAUUAUGGCAUCUUUUGUCUUGACAGUCGACCAUUUUAUUUGUAGAGAUAUUUGCUCCUCACGGUAUUCUUCGGUUUCUACAGAAUUUACAAGACAUAAUAGAGCAUGCUCUUUCCUUUUCUGCCUAUGACAUAUGCUUUUAGAUUUGGAGGUGGGCUGUUGAAGUAGCUAUACACUGACCUCACACGUAAGCGAUGCUAAGGAUCUUCUCAGAUGCUCAUUACUAAACUGAUGGCUGAAGUCCGACGAAAUCUAUACAAAGUGGGUAGCUUGUCUGUUGUACUGCUGAAGCUUAUUGGAAACAUACUAACUGUCCAACAGUAACGAACUUCAGGCUCGUGAAUGAUUUCAGGCUGUUCGCCGCCGCUGAAGAAAAUAGGAAGAGGAGGUGGCGCGGGGGAGACCAGCGGCAGCGACGGCGCAUCGACGUGCUCGACGAGGCGAGCCAGAGCGCGGGCUGCUGUGAGUGCUGCGUCGCCUGGGAGCCACCGUUGAGCAGGUGCUCUUCUCCUCCCCAAUCCGUGAGCCGUCACCACCAAGAAGCAACGGGGGGACUGCACCGCCGCUUACCUCCACCCGCCACAGACACUGCCUUAGGGCAGCCUCUUGAGAAGAGCUGGAUUAUUGGACUUACACAGGAGAGAAAACCAAGGAGGCAACAGGCUUUGCGCAUAAAAGGAAAUACCCAUGUG